UUUUGCCAGGAACCGACUCUUGGAGAAGAGAGAUCAGCAUGAGAACCCUUUCUGUUCGGAUCGUAUCAUUGCAGCUUUCUUCCAACAUGCACUAGAAGGCUCCUGGGACAGAAAGACAAAUCUGCUGGUUGCAAAUGUGCAGAUUUAGAAACAGUGUGGAGUUUGUAGGGUGUGUGUGUGUGUGUGUGUGUGUGUGUGUGUGUUUGUGUGGUGUAUGUGCUUACCUAUGGCAUGUGUGCUGGUCCAGACCUGGAGCAAUUUUCAUGUGCUUACAGGGAUGAAGGUAAUGAAUGGCAUUUGAUGAGCUUGACACUGGAAUGAGGGGAAUGGCUUGAAGGCAGCCCCUCUCAUGAUAUGCAGCUGCACAGCCCUGCAUCUGACACCCAAUCUGGUUUGAAAAGGAUGGUUCAGUGGGUUGGAUGCUCUUCCCCAGGUGGACAGGACUGAGACGUGGAGCUCAGUUUUGCAGCCCGACCCUUCCACAUUCGAAGCAUGGAUUACACCAGGGACAGAUACUUUUUACCACCAGUUGGCCCAGUUCCUACGGUAUUCUGAAACAUACAGGAAGACCACAGGCUUCCCCUGCCUGAAGCCGGGUGUAGCAGUGGAUGUGCUUUGACCAGUGAAGUGGGAUUGAAAGUAACAAGAGCCAAUGUACAGCACACACGUGUUCUUUCUCAGCUAGACUGGCUGGGGAUGGCAUGCUGUGACCACAUUUCUACACCCUGAGGCAGCUCCCACCACUGAGCAACUCAUAG
rnacentral:lncRNA from 1 species